rnacentral:lncRNA from 1 species
GUCUAUGGCAGGUUUAUCAUAUAAAAAUCUAAUAGUGAGUUAGAAUAGGACAUCAUUUAAUAUCAACACGAGUUAUUUAAUUUCAAUAUAAUAAUAAACGAGCCUGUGGCGAGUUUAUUAUUACUAUUUAAAUUAAAUAACGAGUGUUGAUAUUAAGCAAAACACAAUUUAAAAAAUCAACUGACAACUGAAAUAACCAAUGAGAUGAGAUUAUGUCAGUUGAUGAAUUUUCCAAAUCUUAGUUAUAAUCAGAAGUUGGUUAUUAUACAUUGUAGAUUCUUACAUCAUAAGUACAUCUCUGGAUUUAUCAAAUCAAGUUAGUUAAAUUCAGACCAGGAUGUAGAUUCUUACAUCAUAAGUACAUCUCUGGAUUUAUGAAAUCAAGUUAGUUAAAUUCAGACCAGGAUUUGAACCUGGGACCUCUCAAUAACUUGAGUGCUCUACCACUGAGCUAUCUGAGUGUAUUUUCACCUAUAUGCUGUCAUCAAAUCUUACAUUUUUAACUGACAAAAUAACAGUUAAGGAGUUUGUGACGAGUUUAUCAACCAAAAAUCUAAUUAUGAGUCAGAAAAGGAUAUCAGGAUAUUGGUUAGUAUCAACACGAGUUAUUUAAUUUCAAUAUAAUAAUAAACGAGCCUGUGGCGAGUUUAUUAUUACUAUUGAAAUUAGAUAACGAGUGUUGGUA